rnacentral:rRNA from 1 species
UACGGGGGGGAGCAAGCGUUGUUCGGAUUCAUUGGGCGUAAAGGGUGCGUAGGCGGCGCGGUAAGUCGGGUGUGAAAUCUCGGGGCUUAACUCCGAAACUGCAUUCGAUACUGCCGUGCUUGAGGACUGGAGAGGAGACUGGAAUUUACGGUGUAGCGGUGAAAUGCGUAGAUAUCGUAAGGAAGACCAGUGGCGAAGGCGGGUCUCUGGACAGUUCCUGACGCUGAGGCACGAAGGUCAGGGGAGCAAACGGG